CCAUGCUGAGAAACGUGGCAACACCGCUCAAGUCCAGAUCGAGAGUCCUAUUUUCCAAUGUGAGAGUUUUGUGCUUCGUAUCAUAAUUAACACUGUUUUUAAUAAAAAACUAUACUAAUGUACACCAUUUGUUAUUAAUUAUGUAAAAGUGGGAUAUAAAUAUUAUGACUAUAUGGUUUGAAGAAAAUAUAAGUGUGAAGGAAGAUAAAACCUUCUUUGGACCAAAUUGAAGUGUUUGCAAAUUGAUAAGAAAUAUUAUAAUCUAAUACAAACGUGAAAUAGACAAAAUUGUUGGUACGAAGCCAAAGAGGAUCAUUUUGUAUUCUAUCUUGUCCAUUCCUGGAGACGACUCCAGGUUUCACUUUUAAGGUGAAUUUCUCCAUUGCAAAUGCACAUAGUUCUCUUUCUACACUUUCCCUUUGAGUGACCAUAGUUCCAACAGUUGGUGCAGUUUUUAAUAGGUUCGAUGAAGCAAUGAACCUUCACACUAUAUAACCCAUACAAUUUAAUAUCUUCUGAUUUUCUCGGUUUACAGAGCGCUGCAUUACCCGUGUCUAUCCCCUUAAGUGAACACGUAGAAGAGAUGGAGGGAAACUACCCAAGGAAAGAAUUGUGCAGUUAAUUACAAGAGUGUGUUGCAGAUUUAACAAAUUGAAACUUCAAGUUAGCAUUAUUAAUUAUGGCUUCCAUUAUGGCAUACAUAUGACUGAAUACGGUCAUUACUUCUUCUAUAGGAACAGAAAGGCCUCCUCUUUGUAAGGAAACAUUAAAAUCAGUAGAAUGGGACCUAUAACCAGAUAUGUAAAUUUUAAUGGGAUCAUCAACAACACAAGUGGAUAAAUAUUGUUUCAAAAAUUCUCAGAAAACAAGUUACAUCAAUGGAAAGAUCACGAAGAUUAUUAUCGUUAUCACAAAUUUCAAAUAUAUUUUUGAUUUAAGUAAAAGAAAAGAAUCUUGCCGAUUUCUUAAAUAUGUUUUAAUCUAAUAUUUUUCUCUGCAUUUUAACUACUUCAUUGUAUGAAACAUGAUAAUUACAACCAAAUAAAAGUCUAUAGUUUCCAAA